rnacentral:rRNA from 1 species
AGUGAACGCUGGCGGUAGGCCUAACACAUGCAAGUCGAACGGCAGCACAGUAAGAGCUUGCUCUUACGGGUGGCGAGUGGCGGACGGGUGAGGAAUACAUCGGAAUCUACUUUUUCGUGGGGGAUAACGUAGGGAAACUUACGCUAAUACCGCAUACGACCUACGGGUGAAAGCAGGGGAACUUCGGACCUUGCGCGAUUGAAUGAGCCGAUGUCGGAUUAGCUAGUUGGCGGGGUAAAGGCCCACGAAGGCGGCGAUCCGUAGCUGGUCUGAGAGGAUGAUCAGCCACACUGGAACUGAGACACGGUCCAGACUCCUACGGGAGGCAGCAGUGGGGAAUAUUGGACAAUGGGCGCAAGCCUGAUCCAGCCAUACCGCGUGGGUGAAGAAGGCCUUCGGGUUCUAAAGCCCUUUUGUUGGGAAAGAAAAGCAGCAGGUUAAUACCCCGCUGUUCUGACGGUACCCAAAGAAUAAGCACCGGCUAACUUCGUG